UUAUCCGGAAUCAUUGGGCGUAAAGCGUCUGUAGGUUGUUUAAUAAGUCUGUUGUUAAAGACUAGGGCUUAACCCUAGAGAAGCAAUGGAAACUACUAGACUUGAGUAUGGCAGGGGUAGAGGGAAUUUCUAGUGUAGCGGUGAAAUGCGUAGAUAUUAGAAAGAACACCGGUGGCGAAAGCGCUCUACUGGACCAUUACUGACACUCAGAGACGAAAGCUAGGGUAGCAAAAGGGAUUAGAUACCCCUGUAGUCCUAGCCGUAAACGAUGGAUACUAGAUGUUGUGUUUAAUAUGCAGUAUCGUAGCUAACGCGUUAAGUAUCCCGCCUGGGGAGUACGCUCGCAAGGGUGAAACUCAAAGGAAUUGACGGGGGCCCGCACAAGCGGUGGAGCAUGUGGUUUAAUUCGAUGCAACGCGAAGAACCUUACCAGGACUUGACAUACUACAAAUUUCUUUGAAAAAAGGAAGUGCCUUCGGGAAUGUAGAUACAGGUGGUGCAUGGCUGUCGUCAGCUCGUGUCGUGAGAUGUUGGGUUAAGUCCCGCAACGAGCGCAACCCUUAUUUUUAGUUACUAAUUAAUUAGGUUUUCUAGAAAGACUGCCGGUGACAAACCGGAGGAAGGUGAGGAUGACGUCAAGUCAGCAUGCCCCUUAUGUCCUGGGCUACACACGUGCUACAAUGGUUAAAACAAAGGGUCGCGAGCUUGUGAGAGUCAGCUAAUCCCAUAAAUUUAGCCUAAGUUCAGAUUGUAGGCUGCA
rnacentral:rRNA from 1 species